CAGUAGCCGCGGGAAUACGAAGGGGGCUAGCGUUGCUCGGAAUGACUGGGCGUAAAGGGCGUGUAGGCGGUUUUGACAGUCAGAUGUGAAAUUCCUGGGCUUAACCUGGGGGCUGCAUUUGAGACGUUAAGACUAGAGUGUGAGAGAGGGUUGUGGAAUCCCCAGUGUAGAGGUGAAAUUCGUAGACAUUGGGAAGAACACCGGUGGCGAAGGCGGCAACCUGGCUCAUUACUGACGCUGAGGCGCGAAAGCGUGGGGAGCAAACAGGAUUAGAUACCCCCGUAGUCCCUGUCUCUUAUAC
rnacentral:rRNA from 1 species